GAAUAUUUAUAUAAUAUUAACAUAAUUCAUAUUACUAUAUAUUUUAGUAUAUGAAAUUUUACUUUGAGAAAAUUAGAGUGCUUAAAGCAGGCAUAUGCCUUGAAUACUCCAGCAUGGAAUAAUAUUAAAGAUUUUUAUCUUUCUUAUUGGUUCUAAGAUAAGAAUAAUGAUUAAUAGGGACAGUUGGGGGCAUUUGUAUUUAACAGUCAGAGGUGAAAUUCUUAGAUUUGUUAAAGACAAACUAAUGCGAAAGCAUUUGCCAAGGAUGUUUUCAUUAAUCAAGAACGAAAGUUAGGGGAUCGAAGACGAUCAG
rnacentral:rRNA from 1 species